GAUGAACGCUGGCGGCGUGCCUAAUACAUGCCAGUCGAGCGAACAGACGAGGAGCUUGCUCCUCUGACGUUAGCGGCGGACGGGUGAGUAACACGUGGAUAACCUACCUAUAAGACUGGGAUAACUUCGGGAAACCGGAGCUAAUACCGGAUAAUAUAUUGAACCGCAUGGUUCAAUAGUGAAAGACGGUUUUGCUGUCACUUAUAGAUGGAUCCGCGCCGCAUUAGCUAGUUGGUAAGGUAACGGCUUACCAAGGCAACGAUGCGUAGCCGACCUGAGAGGGUGAUCGGCCACACUGGAACUGAGACACGGUCCAGACUCCUACGGGAGGCGGCAGUAGGGAAUCUUCCGCAAUGGGCGAAAGCCUGACGGAGCAACGCCGCGUGAGUGAUGAAGGUCUUCGGAUCGUAAAACUCUGUUAUUAGGGAAGAACAAAUGUGUAAGUAACUAUGCACGUCUUGACGGUACCUAAUCAGAAAGCCACGGCUAACUACGUG
rnacentral:rRNA from 1 species